UGUGUGCAAGUUAUUUCCAACUUAUGCAAUCCUAAAUCCCCAUCUACACUGCUAUAUAAAAUCCAGAUUAUCUGGCAAUGUAGAUUGGAUUAUACAGCAGUGUAGAUCCAGCCUAAGGCAAACCUAUCAUAGGGCUUUCUGGGUCUGAGAGUGCAUGUCUAAGAUCACUUCUUGGGUUUCCAUGGCAGAACAGGGAAUCUAACCACUACACCACACCGGAUCAUCCUAUUUAAGUUGCCUGCUGUACUUUAAACUCACAAGGGAUAGAAUGAUGUACAUAAAAUAUUACCCCUGUUGUCCUAAUUUGGCAGGGGUGGCCCUAAUUAAUUCUGUGUUGAGCCACUUUUUAAGCUGCUUUAAAAAUGUCUGUUGGAAUGAAAUAUGCUGCCUCAGAGGUGGUGGAGUCCCCUUCUCUAGAGGUUUUCAAGCAGAGUCUGGGUGGUCAUCUGUCAGGAGUGCUUUGAUUGUAUUUUCCUGCAUGGCAGGGCAGGGGAUUGGACUGGAUGGGCCUUUCCAUCCAGACUGCCACAGACUGAAUUCCCUGAUCAGAGAAGGGGAUGGUUCCUUUUUAAAAUAAGAGAAUGUACAGUAUCAUAUUUUCUGGCGUAUAAGACAACUGGGUAUAUAAGACGACCCCCAACUUUUCCAGUUAAAAUAUAGAGUUUGGGAUAUACUCUCCGUAUAAGACUACCCGUCUUCCAACACACACCAAAUUAAAAAAAAAAAAACAUUAGAUUUGAUUUCAAUAUGUUAAUUUUAAUUCAAAUGCUUAUGACAUGCAGGUGCUUAGCAGGAAAACUGUCUCCCUGCCUGCCCAGCCCUACCUGUUUCCAAGGCUAUCGAGCGGUAGCGCAAACAUGCCUCUUUCACUCCUCUGGCCCGCCUUUGUAUCCUAUUACCAUACCUCCUCUGCCUCUUAGAUCUCUCACAUGCGCGUCUGUGCUGCUUCACUGCAGUCCUCAGGAGCGAGAUCUGAGAGACAGAGAAGGGGGUAUGAUAAUAGAAUACAGAGGCAGGCCAGACAGAUGAAAGAGGCAUGUUUUUCUGGGUACAGUGCCGCUCUAUCUCUUUUUUCCAUACCCCGGGCAUCCCAGACACCUGCAGCUUGCUCUGCCCUUCACUUACACCUUUCCGAUGAGGCGCCCCCUCACCUUGUCAUCAGGACUGCGUUAAGUCACUUCUUUCCACGAAUCCUGGAACCCCAAAACCCUUAUGUCAGAGGACUGCUGACCAACAGGUCAGGGGUUUGAAUCUGGGAAGAGUGGCUGAACUCCCUCUGUCAGCUCCAGCUCCCCAUGCGGAGACAUCAGAGAAGCCUCCCACAAGGAUGGUAAAACAUCAAACAUCUGGGCGUCCCCUGGGCAGCGUCCUUGCAGACGGCCAAUUCUCUCACACCAAAAGCGACUUGCAGUUUCUCAAGUUGCUCCUGACACGAAAAGAAAAAAACCCUCUAGUGCUUUAACUUUCUAGAAGCAGCUUGCUUGCUUGCCUCUGUGUGCAUGUGUGUGCUUUGUGAAUCAAUUCAUCAUCCACAAAAGUAAUUUUCUAAAUCUCUGUUUUUGGUCUUGUUGUUCCUCACAGGUCAUGUUAAUAUUUAAAAACUUACAAUGGGGAAUGCAUUUUACUUUUAAAAUAUCCUUUGGGUUCCAACCUAGAUCUUAGAACAUUUCCCCCUAAGUACAAUGAGGAGCUGGAUUUCACUGGAAAGAAAGAUGUGUGUCAAUUAUUUAAGCUGGGUUAUUGAAGACAUUUAAUUUUGUUUUCCUUCUUUCUGUCAAAAGAUGUUUUGUUUCUGCUCUAUAUACUCCCAAAGGCAUACACAAGAGAACCAUUCAGAAAAGCUCCAUUCAUAGCCCAUUGUUUAUUUGGUUGUGUUCCCUUUUUGUGUAGCCGUUGAAACUUGCGGCAAUGUAAUUCUGACCUAGAAAAACAGAAGCUAGAUUUUAUUUCUUAUAUAUCUAGAAUGGCAUCUUCAGUCUCUCAAAGGAUACACCUUCCAAACAUUAGAUGGUUCACUGAACGCUGCUACUGAAACAUAAAUUGUACAAAUGCUGCUAUUCCUAAGAUGCAACUCAACGCCCUUCCACACUGCCCCUUUAUCCCAGGAUCCAAUACCAGAUUAUCUGUUUAUCCCAAGUUAUUUGGCAGUGGGGACUCAUAUAUUCCAGUUUAAAGCAGAUAAUCUAGGAUCUGAUCCUAGAGGCCCCAAGUCUCCAUUUGGCAGGUCUGCAUUUGAUCCCUGCUCCAUCAACUCCACCAGAAAGGGAGGAAACAAUAAAGGAUCAGUAUUGGUCACAUAUGUUUUUUUAUGUCACCUUUUAAAAAAGUUUUGUGGUCUAAGUUUCUAACCAGUUAUUGAUUAAUAUUGUGUUUUUGCUUUCUAUCACAAAAUCUUAAAGUGGUUAGAGAAAGGAAAGCUAACAAACUACAAUAGAAACAAUAAAACAAUUCAUUACAAUUUCAAGCAUAGCGAUCAGCAAAAUACUUGGGCUAACAGACAUUUUCAAUUGAUGGCAGAAACAUAUACUGAUAAAAUAUUAAACUUCAUGUUAUAUUACAAUGCUAAUGAUGAAUAGAUAGCCCUUUUAAUCAGUGAGAUUUUUUUUUACUUUACAGAUUUUGCUUUGCCUACAGUUACAUCUUAUGAAGGUUACAUGUGACCUGGCCAAGGUGAUAACAUGCCUUAGUUGCAUCUUCUCUGGAUUACUGUAACACACUCUACAUGAAAUUGUCUUUGAAGAGUGUUUGGAAGCUUGAGUCAGUCCAAAAAGCUGCAGACAGACUAUCAACUGGGGAACACACACAACUCUCUUGUUGCAACAGCUCCAUUGGCUGCCAGCCUGUUUCCAGGCACAGUUCAAAGUCCUUGUUAUGACCUAAAAACCCUACAUGGCAUUUUAAGUAUGUUUGUUUUAGAGACCCAAACUGGGGAAAAGAUGGGGACCAACAACAACAAAUACAUUGAAAAAUUGGACUUGAUUCACUAAAGGUUAGAGUUGACCCACAACAUUUAUCAAGUCUAGAGAAGGAAAUGGAAAAGCAUUUGAGGAGUAAGACUGGAAUAAUCUUAAAAUAAUGCUCUGAAGGAAAGGGAGAUAAUCUGAAUUUUGUAUUAGUUUGUGUUGGUAAAUGUGUAGCUUCAGACAUGCAAAGAACAAACCAAAAUUUGACAGAACUAAACACCGGAGGAGGCAUGAUUUUGUUUUGUUUUUUAAGCAGUGUUUUUCCACUACAGUUCCUACAACAGCAAAUCUAUUUCUGUAACAAUGACUAGAAGCUUUUCAGAAUUCGAUGGAUCAUUCUUUGUACAGCAUUGUUGAAGUGAUGUCCAUACUAAAGAUGUGAUAAUAUAGAGAUUUAUUCAUAUAAAGAGAUCAGAUUACUCAACACAAAUAUUUUCAAAACAUUUAUUUUUCAUCCUCCAGAGAACUUCAAAAACAGAAAAUAGGAGCUAGAAUUCAACAGUGUUAAAAUGCUCCUAAAAUUAUUGGUAUCUGUGAGUUUAAAGAUUUGAUCCUAAACAUAUGUCUUGUUUAAUUCAACUCAGCUUAAAGCUUAACUGCAAGGCAAUCCUCUAUAAAUUUGUCUUGAAAUAAG